CCAUGGCUGACCUGGGAAUUCAACCCUGGUCUCCAGAGUCAUCGUCCAGUGCUCAAACUAUCACAUCAUGAGGGCUCUCCCCACUAUCAUUAGUCCAAAUACAUUCAGAGCCCUUCAAACCAGUUGUUUAAAUAGUGGAACACCCCUCCUUCGGCUUCACUGCUCAGCUGAAACUCAAAAUCCCAUACUAAGAGACUAUGACAAUCCUCAUCCAUGGUAGUAGCUAAGGUAACAUUGCCAAUUAUGACAUCAGUAGCAAGAACACUGUGUACUGAUCAAGAAACAAGGCAAUGGGAAGAGGGAUAACAUUGUGCACAUAGCAAUACUGGCCAUAUCCUGCACUUUAAAAGAUUCACAUCGUACAAAUGAUGGGAACCUUCCAGAAAUCUGGCUUUGGGAAUAUAAUGUACACACAAAUUCUGCUUUGUAAAGAGAACUUCACAAGGAAUGCUUCGAUAUCUGCUUACGCAUGUCAUGGCUAGCUAUUCUCUUGUCUUUGUCUGAAGGAUUAGUUAUUAUUAAUGCCCUUCAGUGGAUUUGGUUUCCUUAUUCUCCAUCUGUAACAGAACCAGAGUGGAAUGUUAUCAUUUUCUGUAUUGUUAAUUUAAGCAAGAAAUAAACUGUAGUUAUAGGCUUUGCCCCAGAGUAGAAAUGACAAGGUACUAAGUAUCCCAAGAAUGAAUUAACACAAAAGUCACCUUUGCCUUAUGCUGACUCCAUGAAUUUCAUGGGGUUUUCUUAGGCAAGGAAAACUUCAGAGAUGCUUUGCUAUUUCCUACUUAAUACAGCCUUUAGUACCUGGGAUUUGUCAGCUGUCUUCUCAUCCAAAUAUUUACCAGAGAUGACCGUGCUUACCUUCCAAGAUCAAAUUAGAUUUGGUGCUUUUAGGGCAGUGAUGGCCAACCUGACACGCGUGUCAGUACUGACACGCCUAGCCAUUUUUGCUGACACGCUGCCGCAUGUAUAUUGAUUGGAUGACUAUGCCUUUUGUGGCCAAAUUUGGCGUGAUUUGGUCCAGUGGUUUUGUUGUUUACUCCAUGGGAAUUAUGAACACACACACACACACACACACAUAUCAUUCUAUUAUUAUUGUAGUAUAUUAUCAUAUUAUUACUAUUAUAUUAUUCAUUGCUCAUGACUACAUUGAAUCUAGAAUAGAGAGAAAUCAGCAUAGAAACUGCAAGAGGUACCAUAGAUUGUUGUACAUGGAAAUAAUGGUAGUAAAUAGUUUUUGAUUUAUUAAAUACAGUUAUAUAUUACAAUUAUACAUUUUUGUUAUUUAAACUAUACAUAUUGCAAAAAAAAAUUCUCAAAGUGACACACCACCCAAGUCAUGCUAGGUUUUUUGGUGAAUUUUGACACACCAAGCACAAAAGCUUGCCCAUUAUUGUUUUAGGGUAUUUCAGCUCUCAUCGUAACAAUCUUAGUAAGUUCAGGGUAAGCACUGAGAUUUAUAUGAUUUAAAAGAUGCCACACAUGGAUGGGAUUUGCAAAUACAGUAGAGUCUCACUUAUCCAACAUUCUGGAUUAUCCAAUGCAUUUUUGUAGUCAAUGUUUUCAAUACAUCAUAAUAUUUUGGUGCUAAAUUCAUAAAUACAGUAAUUACUACGUAGCAUUACUGCCUAUUGAACUACUUUUUCUGUCAAAUUUGUUCUAUAACAUGAUGUUUUGGUGCUUAACUUGUAAAAUCAUAACCUAAUUUAAUGUUUAAUAGGCUUCUCCUUAAUCUCUCCUUGUUAUCCAACAUAUUCGCUUAUCCAACAUUCUGCCGGACCGUUUAUGUUGAAUAAGUGAGACUCUACUGUAGUUAAAAGAUGUCAAACAAUGUAUGAUGUACACUAUUGGUCUUUCAGUCACUCCCUCAUCUCCAUUCAGAUUCAGAGAAUUGUUUUGCAUUCUUUUUGUGUCCCCCCCCCCCCCAAAAAAAAAUGUAUGCAUCAUUAACAGAAUGAAAAAUUCCAAUAGCAGAGAAGUGUUGUGAAAUGACACGAGAAACCCCUAAGGGAGGCUUGCAAUGUUGUUUGUUAUAAAUGUGAGCAAUGUAUGUGUUUUAAUAUACAUAUCUAUAGUGCAGUAAUGUGUUUUAAUAUAUGCAUUUCAUUGUGAUUUAUGUUAAUGUGUU